GACGAACGCUGGCGGCGUGCUUAACACAUGCAAGUCGAACGGAAAGGCCCUGCUUUUGUGGGGUGCUCGAGUGGCGAACGGGUGAGUAACACGUGAGUAACCUGCCCUUGACUUUGGGAUAACUUCAGGAAACUGGGGCUGAUACCGGAUAGGAGCUCCUGCUGCAUGGUGGGGGUUGGAAAGUUUCGGCGGUUGGGGAUGGACUCGCGGCUUAUCAGCUUGUUGGUGGGGUAGUGGCUUACCAAGGCUUUGACGGGUAGCCGGCCUGAGAGGGUGACCGGCACCAUUGGGAGGUAACUACCCCCCGCCCUCCCCCGGGGGCAAGAAGGGCGGAAUAUGGCACACGGGCGGGAGGCUGUAUGCCGCACCGCCGCGUGGGGGAGCACGGCCUCCGGUUUUUAACCCUUUUUCCCCGGUGAAGAGCGGGGGGGACGGUAAGGGAAUAAAGAACCCCCCCCAAGCUCGGCC
rnacentral:rRNA from 1 species